rnacentral:tRNA from 1 species
GGCCCUAUAGUGUAGUGGUUAUCACUUCAGAUUGUAGGUCUACCUUAUUUAUUAUCCUACUCUUCCAGUACUUGGUACUAAUUAUCUUCCAGUUGAUCUCAGUAUUGAUAUUCUGAUAACCCCGGUUCGAACCCGGGUAGGACCU